rnacentral:lncRNA from 1 species
AGAAAAUGUAGCCAGCUAGCUACUACUCAUAGAGAAAGUGAGAGAAUCUAGUGGGCUUUGAGCUGUGAUUUAGCUGUCCUUUUUUAUAUGCUGGUAUUUCUUGUUUCUCUUUCAUAUUCUUUUCAAAUUCAGCCUCUUCUCCGUUAUCUAUCCUCAAAUCCCAAAACCCCCCAUUUCCACUUCUCUCACCUCACAUUUUGCUUAAAAACUCCAUCUUUGAACUCCAAAAAAAAAAAAUCCAAAACACUUCAGAUCACAAAAACCCCAUUUCCACUUUCCCUUUUUAUACUUAGAUCUCCACUUCUUUCAUCUCACAUUUGCUUAAAAAUUCAUACUUUGAACCUAAAAACCAAACAAACACCUCAAAUCUCAAAAACCCCAUUUCCACUUUCCCUUAUUAUACUCAGAUCUCCACUUCUUUCAUCUCACAUUUGCUUAAAGAUUCAAUCUUUGAACCAAAAAACCCAACAAAUACCUCAAAUCUCAAAAACCCCAUUUCCAAAUUCCUUUCUUAUACACAAAUUUCCACUUUUUUCACCUCAAGUUUGCUUAAAGAUUCAAUCUUUGAACAAAAACAAGAUUCUUGAUUUUCAGAUGACUUAUGUGAGAUGAAGGAAAAAACACAAACACCCAUUUCCUCUUUAUAUUUUCUCCUCUUUUUAUCCCUUUCUUUAUUAAGUUUAGCCUUUUCUCAGCUCACAAAUGCAGAGUUCAAAGUCUCAAAAUCUGGCCCUUUAACUGAUUUUGAAGCUCAAUACAUCAAACACAGGCAACUUUUGUACUACAGAGAUGAAUUUGGUGACAGAGGUGAAAAUGUCUCAAUUGACCCUUCAUUUGUUUUUGAAAAUAGCAGAAUCAAGAAUGCAUAUAUUGCAUUACAAGCAUGGAAACAAGCCAUAAUUUCAGAUCCUUUCAAUCUUACUGCAAAUUGGGUGGGUCCUAAUGUUUGCAACUACACCGGAAUCUUCUGUGCUCCGGCACUUGACAACCCCAAAAUCCGUACAGUCGCCGGCAUUGACCUUAACCACGGCGACAUUGCAGGUAGGAUUGCCAAAAAAUUAUACUGUGUAUAUAGAUCUAAUAUUGAGCCUGUUACACAAAUAGCCAUAUAGAUUCAAUUUUUACUUUUUGUAGUCGAUAUACAUAUAUUUUACACAGAUAUACAUUAUACAUAUAUUAUACAUGAAUUAUACAAUAUUAUACAUCUGCGGCCAUUUUUAGUUAGUUUUAAGAGAUUAGGUGAACGGCAAUAGCCAACUAGACUUAAUGUUUACUUUUUGUAGCCAUUAUACAUCUAUUAUACACAGUUACACAUAUUAUACAUUAUUCUGCCGGCUUUCUUUUGUCGUAGAGAUUAUGCAUGUGUAUUAGAUGUUGUACAUUCUUAACGAAAUUUGUGAUUUUAUUGUUACAGGGUACCUCCCAGAAGAACUUGGCCUUCUAGUUGAUCUUGGAAUUUUCCAUAUUAAUUCCAACCGUUUUUGUGGUACAAUACCAAAAAAAUUCAAGAAUUUGAAGAUAUUAUUUGAGUUGGAUUUGAGCAACAACAGAUUUGCUGGGAAAUUUCCUUAUGUGGUACUAAGUUUACAUAAGUUAAUAUUCUUGGAUAUAAGGUUUAAUGAGUUUGAAGGUAAUGUACCUUCACAACUUUUUGACAGACCCUUCGACGCCAUUUUCAUCAACCACAACAGAUUCUCGUUCGAAUUACCCGAUAAUUUUGGGAAUUCGCCGGUUUCUGUUAUAGUACUCGCGAACAACAGGUUCCACGGUUGUCUCCCCGCGAGUAUUGGUAACAUGAGUAAUCUGGAAGAAGUUAUUAUGAUGAACAACGGGUUACGUUCUUGUUUGCCUACAGAAAUCGGAAUGUUGAAGAAUUUGACGGUGUUUGAUGUUAGUUUUAAUCAAUUGAUGGGUCCGUUGCCGGAGAAAUUUGGCGAAUUGGUUAAUUUGGAGCAGUUGAAUGUUGCACAUAAUAUGCUAACAGGGUCUAUUCCGAAGAGUAUUUGUCAACUGCCUAAGCUUGAGAAUUUUACAUAUUCUUAUAACUUCUUUACUGGUGAACCGCCGGUUUGUUUGAGAUUGGCGGAGUUUGAUGAUCAACGGAAUUGUUUGCCCAACCGGCCGGUUCAACGGUCCCCGGCUCAAUGCAAGGCGUUUUUGUCUAAGAGGAUUCAUUGUGAUGCUUUCAAAUGUAGGAAAUUUGUUCCGGCUUUGCCACCUCCUCCGCCGCUUUCACCACCUUUGCCUGCCCCUCCUCCACCUGUUGUGGUGCCUAUAUCUCCUCCACCGCCAGUGUUUUCUCCCCCACCACCGGUUUACUCGCCACCACCGCCUCCACCACCGGUUUACUCGCCUCCACCACCUGUUUACUUGCCACCACCUCCGGUUUACUCACCUCCUCCACCGAUUUAUUCCCCACCUCCACCGAUUUACUCGCCUCCACCACCGGUGUAUUCGCCUCCACCACCGGUGUAUUCACCUCCUCCACCUAUUUAUUCGCCGCCGCCGCCACCACCGGUGUAUUCACCACCGCCACCACCACCUGUUUAUUCACCUCCUCCACCAGUUUUCUCUCCACCGCCACCAUCACCUCCUCCACCAGUUAUGUCACCACCACCGCCGACUCCAUUACCAACGCCACCUUAUUGUGUACGCUCACCGCCACCUCCACCAAAUUCUCCACCUCCUCCGCCUCCACUUACUUACUCCCCUCCAUCCCCUCCCCCUUCCCCCUACUAUUACAAUUCACCACCACCUCCCCCGCCAAACUCACCGUCACCUCCACCACCACCACCGGUUUACAUAUACUCAUCACCACCGCCCCCAUACUCUUCAACCCCGCCUCCUCAUUCACCUCCUCCAUCCCCGGUUCCUUGUAUAGAACCCCCACCCCCACCUCCUCCUUGUAUAGAACCACCUCCAUCACCUCCCCCACCAGUUUAUUACUAUAAUUCUCCGCCUCCACCACCGCCUUCACCAUCACCUCCCCCACCGGUGUAUUAUAGUUCUCCGCCCCCACCAUCACCAUCACCUCCGCCACCGGCACUGCCCCCACCAUCACCUCCACCACCAGUUUAUUAUUAUAAUUCACCACCCCCG